UACAGAGGUCCCAAGCGUUGUUCGGAUUCACUGGGCGUAAAGGGUGCGUAGGUGGCCAGGUAAGUUCGGUGUGAAAGCUCGGAGCUUAACUCCGAAAUGGCAUUGAAUACUAUCUGGCUGGAGGGUCGGAGGGGAGACUGGAAUUCUCGGUGUAGCAGUGAAAUGCGUAGAUAUCGAGAGGAACACCAGUGGCGAAGGCGAGUCUCUGGACGACUCCUGACACUGAGGCACGAAAGCCAGGGAGCAAACAGG
rnacentral:rRNA from 1 species